GACCGGCGCACGGGUGAGUAACACGUAUGCAACCUACCUACAACAGGGGGAUAACCCGGAGAAAUCCGGACUAAUACCGCAUAACACAGGGAUGCCGCAUGGCAAUAUUUGUUAAAGAUUUAUCGGUUGUAGAUGGGCAUGCGUUCCAUUAGGUAGUUGGAGAGGUAACAGCUCCCCAAGCCUGCGAUGGAUAGGGGAACUGAGAGGUUUAUCCCCCACACUGGAACUGAGACACGGACCAG
rnacentral:rRNA from 1 species